AGAUCUAGAAACAUAUAAAUACAAUUAAGUCAGACGUGGUUAAUACAAAAUAAAUGUAACUGUGAUUUUAUUGAUUUGAUCUGUUUUUAGGCUCUCAGUACAGUUCACACCCUAUUGCUGUGCAUGAAAUAAGGACAAGGAGGAGAUGAAUCUGUUUAUCUUAUUGAGUGAAUUUGGGGAGCAUUACCUUGGAAUUGGAUUGGAGACCACACACCUUUUCUAAUGGUUUUUUUAUAAACAUAGAGUUGGAGAUGCAUGGAAUAACCUUUCAG